AGGAAUAUUGGUCAAUGGGCGUAAGCCUGAACCAGCCAAGUAGCGUGAGGGAAGACUGCCCUAUGGGUUGUAAACCUCUUUUGUGCGGGGAUAAAGUGUGGGACGUGUCCCAUAUUGCAGGUACCGCACGAAUAAGGACCGGCUAAUUCCGUGCCAGCAGCCGCGGUAAUACGGAAGGUCCGGGCGUUAUCCGGAUUUAUUGGGUUUAAAGGGAGCGCAGGCCGUCCUUUAAGCGUGCUGUGAAAUGCCGCGGCUCAACCGUGGCACUGCAGCGCGAACUGGAGGACUUGAGUACGCACGAGGUAGGCGGAAUUCGUGGUGUAGCGGUGAAAUGCUUAGAUAUCACGAAGAACUCCGAUUGCGAAGGCAGCUUACCGGAGCGCAACUGACGCUGAGGCUCGAAAGCGCGGGUAUCGAACAGGAUUAGAUACCCUGGUAGUCCGCGCGGUAAACGAUGGAUGCCCGCCGUUGGGAUUUAGAUUUCAGCGGCCAAGCGAAAGCGUUAAGCAUCCCACCUGGGGAGUACGCCGGCAACGGUGAAACUCAAAGGAAUUGACGGGGGCCCGCACAAGCGGAGGAACAUGUGGUUUAAUUCGAUGAUACGCGAGGAACCUUACCCGGGCUUGAAUUGCAGGAGAACGAUCCAGAGAUGGUGAGGCCCUUCGGGGCUCCUGUGAAGGUGCUGCAUGGUUGUCGUCAGCUCGUGCCGUGAGGUGUCGGCUCAAGUGCCAUAACGAGCGCAACCCCUGUCCAUAGUUGCCAUCAGGUCGUGCUGGGCACUCUGUGGAGACUGCCGCCGUAAGGUGUGAGGAAGGUGGGGAUGACGUCAAAUUAGCACGGCCCUUACGUCCGGGGCUACACACGUGUUACAAUGGGGCAUACAGCGAGUUGGAUGUGCGCAAGUACGUCCGGAUCAAUAAAGUGCCUCUCAGUUCGGACUGGGGUCUGCAACCCGACCCCACGAAGCUGGAUUCGCUAGUAAUCGCGCAUCAGCCAUGGCGCGGUGAAUACGUUCCCG
rnacentral:rRNA from 1 species